AGGACGAACGCUGGCGGCGUGCUUAACACAUGAAAGUCGAACGAUGAAGCCUUCGGGUGGACUAGUGGCGAACGGGUGAGUAACACGUGGGUGAUCUGCCUCGUACUUCGGGAUAAGCUUGGGAAACUGGGUCUAAUACCGGAUAUGACCAGGGGCUGCAUGGUUUCUGGUGGAAAGAUUUAUCGGUGCGAGAUGAGCCCGCGGCCUAUCAGCUUGUUGGUGGGGUAAUGGCCUACCAAGGCGACGACGGGUA
rnacentral:rRNA from 1 species